rnacentral:rRNA from 1 species
CCUACGGGGGACUGCAGUGGGGGAUAUUGCACAAUGGGGGGAACCCUGAUGCAGCGACGCCGCGUGGGUGAAGAAGCGCCUCGGCGCGUAAAGCCCUGUCAGCAGGGAAGAAAAUGACGGUACCUGAAGAAGAAGCCCCGGCUAACUACGUGCCAGCAGCCGCGGUAAUACGUAGGGGGCAAGCGUUAUCCGGAUUUACUGGGUGUAAAGGGGGCGCAGACGGCGAUGCAAGCCAGGAGUGAACGCCCGGGGCACAACCCCGGGACUGCUCGUGGAACUGCGUGGCUGGAGGGCAGGAGGGGCAGGCGGAAUUCCCGGUGUAGCGGUGAAAUGCGUAGAUAGCAGGAGGAACACCGGUGGCGAAGGCGGCCUGCUGGACUGCAACUGACGUUGAGGCCCGAAAGCGUGGGGAGCAAACAGGAUUAGAUACCCCAGUAGUC